rnacentral:tRNA from 1 species
GCGCCGCUAGCUCAGCUGGUAGAGCAGAGGACUCUUAAUCCUAAGGUCCAGGGUUCGAUCCCCUGGCGGCGCACAA